GCUUACGGCCGUACCAGCCAAGAGCGCCCGGUCUCAUCUGAUCUCGGAAGCUAAGAAGGCUUGGGCCUGGUUAGUACUUGGAUGGGAGACCUCCUGGGAAUACCAGGUUCUGUAAACU
ensembl:rRNA 5S_rRNA 5S ribosomal RNA